rnacentral:lncRNA from 1 species
AUAUAGUUUCAAGGAUAAUUGUGUUGAAGAAUCUCUUGCGGCCUCAGAUGUAGAGUUUGUAGAGCAGUUCCCUAGAGUACAAAAAGCCAUGGCCUUGAUUCCCAGAACUAAAGAAACUGUGUAUGGUCCAAGUAGAAGGUUCAGAAGGUCAAGGUCAUUCUUGUCUUCAUAGUGAGUUCCUGGCCAGCCCAGGAUGCAGGAGACUCUAUCUUUAAAAAACAAACAAACAAAGCCAGGCAUGGAAAUGCACACCUUUAAUCCCAUCACUUGAGAGGCAGAGGCAGGUGGAGGUCAAGGCCAGGUUGGUCUACAGAGUGAGUUCCAGGACAGCCAGGACUACACAGAGAAACCCUGCCUCAACAAACAAACAAUCUAACAAAAAGAACCUAUUGAUAUAUGCAACUUAGUAGAUGUUCUUUUAAAAAGGAAAAUAUUGCUUGGUUUUUAAAGUUUUUUAAAGCUUUUAUUAUCUUUUCAUGUUCUUGAAAAAUGAUUUGGGCUGGCUUACUAAAUAAGAUAUUAGUACCUUGCUUCUAAGUCUUAGUUCUGAUUUACAUAUUAAAUUAUGCAUGAUAAUUAUGCAAAUAGCUCACAAUAGCAAACAAUACCAAGUUUUGCCAAGCAUCUCUCCACUUCCACCAUCCUUAUAAAAUCCCAUGAGUUAACGGCGCUGCUAUUAGUUCUGUUCUUCAGGGGGAGCCAUGAGUCAGAAACAUGUAAGUGCAUCAUACCACCUCCUUUGAAAGGAGAAUUCAAAAACAGUAUAAUUUAUUUCCCCUGAAUGUCUUUACACAGGUUUUCAUUGAAAAUAUUGUUGAUGAAUGCACUUUUAGAAUUGUCAGAUCUGUCCUGAGAAUGUGUGAUUUCUGUAAUUAAGUGUAGGUUUGAUUCCUGUUCUCAUACCUGAUGAAGUUCAGGAUCUUAGUUCUUAAGAAUGCAAAACAAUGGCAGUUGACAACUGCUGUGACUCCAGUCUCAAAGGCUCUGACCUCCUCUUGUGGCCUGAGGGCCACCAGGCAUGCAUGUGGAAAUAAGUUCAUGCACAAACAUACAUGCAUACAUAUAUAAAAUAAAUAUUUUUUAAAAUAACUAAAUGUCUGUCUCCUGUGUUGUGAUGAUUAUUGGAAUAUGACAUCUAAAUGCUUUUGUUCACAGUUCAAACACCUAAAGGGCUCACUAAGUGUUGGUCCCACAGUGAUAGUCUUCCAUUUCUUAUGCAUCAUAUGUGUAUAAUACGAACUAUACUGUUGUCCCAGCUAAUCCUGGAGUUCUGUCCCAGAGCCAGAGUUAAUCCUUGUCAUUUGUAUAUGUCUUCCAGUCAGAGGAGACUGGAUUCAAGUCAUACAUGUUUUUAAAGAUAAACACAGUUUUCUCAUCCUACAACAAGUAAAAUCUAGGACACCAUUAAGAUGACUGCAGCAGCGACCGAUCUCCGGAUGCACUGCUUGUGCUUCUGUGUCUACCUUUGUCCCAGCCUUGUUUAUCCCUCUCUCCAUUCCCAGUGCCUCUCUUCCUAUUUUGAUAUUCUUGUUUUAUGUCUCUUGAGGAUGUUGGAUGUUUAUUAUGGUCCCUAAAUGGACAGAUUUUUCCCUGGGCUGUAAAACUCUGUUCCUGGCAUGUUCUUGGCAUAUGGUUUUUGCCUGGGCGGGGCUGCUGAGCGGGGGUCCCAGUGGUGCCGAGGCGUCAGUGCCCUUUGUUCUUGCUGGUGAGAGUAUGACAUUAGUGGUUUCAGCUCUUGUUGACCCUGUUCUAAGCCAGAGCUUUAUGGCCUUUAAAGCACAGGGUAUGUUUUCUUGUGAUACUUUGGAAUGAAAGAAAGAAAACUUGUCUAAAUUUACAACUGGUUUCAUUUACCAAAAUGACUAUUUCACUUGGAAAGUUUUGUCUUUUCUGAAGAAACUUCAGGAGAUGGGUGGGCUUGGUGUCCUCUCUCACCCUCCACCUCCCAGCCCACACAUCUGCACUAACAGAUGCUAAGGACUUUAUUCCACGUUUGAGAUAGGCAGAACUUUGAGAAGGAAUAAUCAAGUCAUAAAUUUUUUCUUUUGUUUAAAGAAACAUUUUAAAAAUACAAAUCAUUAGAAUGUUCCCACUUUAUGUAACUGAAUAAAGGAAAACAUUUAGUGAGAAGGAAGGUCCCUGUGGCAGCAGUGGUGGCAGCUUCAGGAAACCUUGAUGCUACUGAGAUCUGUGUCCUUCAGAUCUGCACUUAAUCUCAUACUUGAGUUAUUGGACUGAUUUAAGGUCUUGGUAACUUAGGAUUCAUGUUAGCGCCAUGACCUUCAAAACAGAUGUUUAAAGUGCUCCAAACUAUUCUUCUACUCUUAGGCUCAAGAGAAAGCAAGUAUUUCUUUUAUGCAUAAAGAAAUAAAACAAAACCUUACACCUUAGAUCUAAGGAGAUGGUUCAGCAGUACAGAACACUUACUGCUCUUCUGUAAGCCCCAGGUUUGAGUCCCAGCACUCCUGUUGGGUGGCUUACAAUCACCUGUAACUCAGCCACAGGGGUUCCAGCUUCUUCUUCUGGACUCCUUGGGCACUGCAAUUACACAUACAUAUACCCAUACCUGUGUACACAUAAAUACAAAUAAUAAAAAGUAAGUUAAAACUUCUUGACCCAAGCUUCUGAGGAGGCCUCUGUAACAUUUUUGGGUAGCAUAAGUCCUGUUUGUAAGGCGUAGCUGAGCAGUUGAAGCUUUGUGAAGAUUUGGUCCCACUGUUGGCUCAGCUAUGGCUCUUAAUGGAGCUGUUCUUUCCCUCCAUCUCUUUCUUCCCCCAUUUCUCAUGAGAAUAAAACAGUGAGUUGGGUAGUGUUUAAUAAUAUUUAUUGAAAGCUGCCCACCAUAGGGCACAGCUUUUUGGAAAACUGCCUUGCUCCAGCUUGCUUUUCCAACCAAGUAUUUAACCCAAAUCUGAACUUGGCAUCCGUUAGGCCUGCAGUUCUUUUAAACCAAAUGAUCACAGCCGAACCUGGGUGGAGCCUAGUUUCAUGUGUGAGGUUUUCAAUAAAACCAAAGUGGAGUGUGGGUAGAAAACCAAAGCCAGGAAAAGUGGCGACUGUGCUGACACCAGAGGAAAACCUACAGGCCUCUUACACCUUGUGGGUUCAGAGUUGGGACAAAAUUAAACAGAGGCAGUGCUUUGGUCCAUCCUGGACUCAUGGAGACAGAGGCAAACUGGGCUAGUGUGGUGAGUUUGUGUGGUGAGUUUGUUACAUACUCAUGGGAUUUUAUUUUUAUUUAUUAGUGGAAGAGGGGUGUGUGUGUGUGUGUGUGUGUGUGUGUGUGUGUGUGUUAUAAACCUUGGGGUAGGGAUACAACUCAGUUGGUAGUGUACUUGUGUGGAAUACAGAAAUCCCGGAGUUUAGUGCCCAGACUUUCUAUAUGAUGGUACAGAGUGUGAAGGCUCAAGGCUAUCCUUGCUUACAUAGAUAGUAACACACCAACCCAGCCUAGGCCUCAUAAUACCCUGCCUUUUUAAAAUAAAUAAACAUAUGUUUGUUUGUUUGUUUUAUACUAUGUUAACCUCAAUUUAAAAAUAUAUAAGUUGCCUUUAGUGGAGAAAGUCAUUUUAGUUUAGAUAUUUAUUUUAUUUCCAUUGGAUUUGAACAUUGAAAUAUAUAGCAGUUCACUGGCACUCACCUUUAAUCUAUAAAUCUCAACAGUCAAGAGGCAGAGAGCCAGUUCAAGGCCAGCCUGGUCUACAAAGUGUGUUCCAGAACAGCCAGAAACCCUAUCUC